rnacentral:rRNA from 1 species
AUUGAACGCUGGCGGCAGGCCUAACACAUGCAAGUCGAGCGGAUGAAGGGAGCUUGCUCCUGGAUUCAGCGGCGGACGGGUGAGUAAUGCCUAGGAAUCUGCCUGGUAGUGGGGGAUAACGUCCGGAAACGGGCGCUAAUACCGCAUACGUCCUGAGGGAGAAAGUGGGGGAUCUUCGGACCUCACGCUAUCAGAUGAGCCUAGGUCGGAUUAGCUAGUUGGUGGGGUAAAGGCCUACCAAGGCGACGAUCCGUAACUGGUCUGAGAGGAUGAUCAGUCACACUGGAACUGAGACACGGUCCAGACUCCUACGGGAGGCAGCAGUGGGGAAUAUUGGACAAUGGGCGAAAGCCUGAUCCAGCCAUGCCGCGUGUGUGAAGAAGGUCUUCGGAUUGUAAAGCACUUUAAGUUGGGAGGAAGGGCAGUAAGUUAAUACUUUGCUGUUUUGACGUUACCAACAGAAUAAGCACCGGCUAACUUCGUG